rnacentral:rRNA from 1 species
GAUGAACGCUGGCGGCGUGCCUAAUACAUGCCAGUCGAGCGAACAGACGAGGAGCUUGCUCCUCUGACGUUAGCGGCGGACGGGUGAGUAACACGUGGAUAACCUACCUAUAAGACUGGGAUAACUUCGGGAAACCGGAGCUAAUACCGGAUAAUAAAUUGAACCGCAUGGUUCAAUAGUGAAAGACGGUUUUGCUGUCACUUAUAGAUGGAUCCGCGCCGCAUUAGCUAGUUGGUAAGGUAACGGCUUACCAAGGCAACGAUGCGUAGCCGACCUGAGAGGGUGAUCGGCCACACUGGAACUGAGACACGGUCCAGACUCCUACGGGAGGCAGCAGUAGGGAAUCUUCCGCAAUGGGCGAAAGCCUGACGGAGCAACGCCGCGUGAGUGAUGAAGGUCUUCGGAUCGUAAAACUCUGUUAUUAGGGAAGAACAAAUGUGUAAGUAACUAUGCACGUCUUGACGGUACCUAAUCAGAAAGCCACGGCUAACUACGUG